rnacentral:snoRNA from 15 species
AGCGAUGAUGAUUGAAGUCAAUGCCUGACCUGAUAUGGCUUGUGUCUAUAAGCUUUGAUCAGUAGAUGACUCAUUAUUUAAUCUUCUCUCUGAGCUG